rnacentral:snoRNA from 1 species
CCAGUGUGGUUACCCUGGGAGCUCACUCUUCCCAGGUUCUGUCCAAUGGCAACAUAAAUAAUUUGCUAGGCACAGGAUGUGCAGAAAUAUAA